CGCGCCAUUGCAGUCCAGCCUGGGCAACAAGAGUGAAACUGUCUCUCCAAAAAAAAAAAAAAAAAGAAAGAAAGAAAGAAAAAGUAGCAGUUAUUCAUCUCAAUACUUAUAUAGACAGUUUGGCCGUGUCCUAGGUUUUUGCUGGGCCCUGGGGACACAUAACUGAACCAAACUUCAAUUCCUGCCUUCUGAGAUCAUAACGGUAUUGUGGGUUAGAAAUGAGGGUAGGGAGUGACAAACAUGAAAUUGAUGUAAUCAGGGCUAAGAUAGAGGCAGGCACUAGCUGCCCAAGGGGUCAGGGAUGGUCUGGGAGAAGUAACUGAACUGAAUGAAGGAAGAUAGGAAAACCACAAUAAAUAUGGUAUUCGCUGAAUGGUUUCAUGAAUUUCCACAAACACGGAUAGCAAGGAAAAGAAGGAGCCUACUUGAAACAGUGCACCAAUGUGCCGGCACAUAAUAGUGGAUAAAUAAGUAUUUGAUGCAUGAAUGAAAAUUACAUACUGUUACUCAUUAUUAGAGGAUAAAGUAGGCGGGACACAAAGUGAGUCUGGAAAGAAUAGGCAUUAUAUAAUAAAGACGUUAUAUUCGUUUUUCAAGCUCUUCAUCAAUUCAACAAAUAUGUGUCAAGCUACCACUGUGUUCCAGGUAUGCUAUUCAAAAUGAGGAUAUGUUGGAAAGCUUUCUUAUGAGAGGAUGAAAAGUUUUCACUUCUGAUAACUUUUAGGCUGUUAAGGAAUAAAAUAAGAUAGGACCCUCCACAGAUCCCUAAUGAGUUUUUUUUGCACGAAUAGCAAGUCAUUUAUGCAUUCUUUCAUACAUUCAUUCUAUAAACAUUUAAUUGAUACUGUGAAAUAGAUAUUUUGAAAGGUCCUGGAAAUACAAUAAUGAAGAAACAAAAAGACUCCCUCAAGUUGCUCGAUUUAGGUGAUGACACAGAAAGAUCCUUGCUGUAAUGGAGUAUGUCAAGAGUAGUGGAAACAUGGCAGAGUAGUUUAAACUGAAACUUGAAAGGAUUAGAACAGCUAGUCUGAUGCUAUUGGGAUAAAGAAAUUUUAAGCUAAGAAGCAAUCCCAACAAAAGUCCAGAGACUUGAGAGAACAGGACUUUAAGGGAAUUGCAAGUAGGUUCGUAUCACCAGAGCAUAAGAGAUAAGGGAAAACGAGGAGAAAGAGUGACAGAAGUGAGGUUUCAGUUGCUGAAGGACUUCUAGGCAAUGCACCAGACUUCAGAACAUUUCCAUCUUCCUCCUAGAAGAUCAAAGAGAAGUAAUGAAAGUCAAGGUGCUGGAAUCAGACAUGGCAUACUUUUACCAGCACCAUAAAUGGUGCCCAGGGUGGAGUAGCCCAGACAUUCCAGAGGCACUGCUCAUAUGUUUGUGG
rnacentral:lncRNA from 10 species